CCUCCUGCCUUGGCUUGCCAUAGUGCUGGGACUACCGGGGAUUUGCAAUGGAGUACUCUGGGGAACAACAUCCGUAAGGGAGUGGAGGAAGCUAGAGUAAGCUGAAAGAGAUGUUGAGCUGCACUGCAGUAUCAUGGACGCUUCAGGAAAUUCCACUGGGAGCUCUGAAGCUGGGAAGGCUUUUCAGAGAUGUUCAUAAUUGAGAUGGAGUUUUGCUCUUGUUGCCCAGGUUGGAAUGCAAUGG